CCGGCGACCGGCGCACGGGUGAGUAACACGUAUGGAACCUGCCCGCAGCAGGGGGAUAAGCGGAAGAAAUUCCGUCUAAUACCGCGUAACAACGUUGGGAGGCAUCUCCCGAUGUUUAAAGAUUUAUCGGCUGCGGAUGGCCAUGCGGCGCAUUAGCUAGUCGGCGGGGUAACGGCCCACCGAGGCGACGAUGCGUAGGGGUUCUGAGAGGAAGGCCCCCCACACUGGGACUGAGACACGGCCCAGACUCCUACGGGAGGCAGCAG
rnacentral:rRNA from 1 species